UACGAAGGGGGCUAGCGUUGCUCGGAAUUACUGGGCGUAAAGGGCGCGUAGGCGGAUAGUUUAGUCAGAGGUGAAAGCCCAGGGCUCAACCUUGGAAUUGCCUUUGAUACUGGCUAUCUUGAGUUCGGGAGAGGUGAGUGGAAUUUCCGGUGUAGCGGUGAAAUGCGUAGAUAUCGGAAGGAACACCUGUGGCGAAAGCGGCUCACUGGACCAUUACUGACGCUGAUGCACGAAAGCUAGGGGAGCAAACAGG
rnacentral:rRNA from 1 species